rnacentral:rRNA from 1 species
CCUACGGGACGCACCAGUGGGGAAUAUUGCACAAUGGGCGCAAGCCUGAUGCAGCCAUGCCGCGUGUAUGAAGAAGGCCUUCGGGUUGUAAAGCACUUUCAGCGGGGAGGAAGGCGCUAAGGUUAAUAACCUUAGCGAUUGACGUUACCCGCAGAAGAAGCACCGCCUAACUCCGUGCCAGCAGCCGCGGUAAUACGGAGGGUGCAAGCGUUAAUCGGAAUUACUGGGCGUAAAGCGCACGCAGGCGGUCUGUCAAGUCGGAUGUGAAAUCCCCGGGCUCAGCCUGGGAACUGCAUUCGAAACUGGCAGGCUGGAGUCUUGUAGAGGGGGGUAGAAUUCCAGGUGUAGCGGUGAAAUGCGUAGAGAUCUGAAGGAAUACCAGUGGCGAAGGCGGCCCCCUGGACAAAGACUGACGCUCAGAUGCGAAAGCGUGGGGAGCAAACAGGAUUAGAUACCCCUGUAGUC